AUGGCGACCGGCGCACGGGUGAGUAACACGUAUCCAACCUGCCGAUAUCUCGGGGAUAGCCUUUCGAAAGAAAGAUUAAUACCCGAUGGUAUAAUCAGACCGCAUGGUCUUGUUAUUAAAGAAUUUCGGUUAUCGAUGGGGAUGCGUUCCAUUAGGCAGUUGGUGAGGUAACGGCUCACCAAACCUUCGAUGGAUAGGGGUUCUGAGAGGAAGGUCCCCCACAUUGGAACUGAGACACGGUCCAA
rnacentral:rRNA from 1 species